rnacentral:rRNA from 1 species
AGCGAACGCUGGCGGCAGGCCUAACACAUGCAAGUCGAACGAACUCUUCGGAGUUAGUGGCGGACGGGUGAGUAACAAGUGGGAACGUGCCUGUUGGUUCGGAAUAACUUAGGGAAACUUGUGAUAAUACCGAAUGUGCCCUUCGGGGGAAAGAUUUAUCGCCAUUAGAGCGGCCCGCGUCUGAUUAGCUAGUUGGUGAGGUAACGGCUCACCAAGGCGACGAUCAGUAGCUGGUCUGAGAGGAUGACCAGCCACACUGGGACUGAGACACGGCCCAGGCUCCUACAGGAGGCAGCAGUGGAGAAUCUUACGCAAUGUGCGAAAGCCUGACGCCUCCAUGCCGCGUGAAUGAUGAAGGUCUUAGGAUUAUAAACUUCUUUCACCGGGUACGAUAAUAACGGUACCCGGAUAAGAAGCCCCGGCUAACUUCGUG